rnacentral:rRNA from 1 species
GAGUUUGAUCGUGGCUCAGGAUGAACGCUGGCGGCGUGCCUAAUACAUGCAAGCCGAGCGAACGGACGAGAAGCUUGCUUCUCUGAUGUUAGCGGCGGACGGGUGAGUAACACGUGGAUAACCUACCUAUAAGACUGGGAUAACUUCGGGAAACCGGAGCUAAUACCGGAUGAUAUUUUGAACCGCAUGGUUCAAAAGUGAAAGACGGUCUUGCUGUCACUUAUAGAUGGAUCCGCGCUGCAUUAGCUAGUUGGUAAGGUAACGGCUUACCAAGGCAACGAUGCAUAGCCGACCUGAGAGGGUGAUCGGCCACACUGGAACUGAGACACGGUCCAGACUCCUACGGGAGGCAGCAGUAGGGAAUCUUCCGCAAUGGGCGAAAGCCUGACGGAGCAACGCCGCGUGAGUGAUGAAGGUCUUCGGAUCGUAAAACUCUGUUAUUAGGGAAGAACAUAUGUGUAAGUAACUGUGCACAUCUUGACGGUACCUAAUCAGAAAGCCACGGCUAACU